rnacentral:sRNA from 1 species
GCCUUGCGGGACCCCGGCGGUCAGUUGA